rnacentral:rRNA from 1 species
GACGAACGCUGGCGGCGUGCCUAACACAUGCAAGUCGAACGAAGCUCUGCGAUACAAGACUUCGGUCAAGUUGAACGGAUGACUUAGUGGCGGACGGGUGAGUAACGCGUGAGGAACCUGCCUUUCAGUGGGGGACAACAGUUGGAAACGACUGCUAAUACCGCAUAAUGUAUUCUGACCGCAUGAUCGGAAUACCAAAGAUUUAUUGCUGAAAGAUGGCCUCGCGUCUGAUUAGAUAGUUGGUGAGGUAACGGCCCACCAAGUCGACGAUCAGUAGCCGGACUGAGAGGUUGAACGGCCACAUUGGGACUGAGACACGGCCCAGACUCCUACGGGAGGCAGCAGUGGGGAAUAUUGCACAAUGGGCGAAAGCCUGAUGCAGCAACGCCGCGUGAGGGAAGACGGUUUUCGGAUUGUAAACCUCUGUUUUCGGUGACGAACAAAUGACGGUAACCGAGUAGGAAGCCACGGCUAACUACGUGCCAGCAGCCGCGGU